GCCCGCUCAGAUGAAUUUCUACCUGGGUACUUCGAGUCUACCUAGUUUAGACACCUUAGCUAAGACACUCAAUUUUUUUCCAUGAGUUUUAUUUUGGCUUCCAACCGGGUUAUGCUUUUGACGUUUGGUUUCGCCUGUUUACACUUCGCAUCAACCGACACCGGCACGACCGACCGACCGCGUGAAAAAAGAAAAAAAAUCUUCUGUUGUUCGUUGCGGGCCUCGCUCGAGUCGUGAAUAUUUUGAAAAAUUAUGUCGCCGGUAGUCAUCUCAGGGCCCAUGGUUGACCCAGAAUAGACUAGAAUCUACGCCGUUGAUCAUCCGGACGCAUUCCAAUAGAUAGUAGAAUGCAAAAAGUGGUUCUCCCGGUUCUGCAUUCGGUGAAGCAGAUGUCGCCUGCAAACCUUGUUCCUGCCAAUUGUAACCGGAAGGUUGAAGUGUACCGUUGCUUUUUUCGUCAUGCUGGGAGUGCAUAUCACUCGCAACGAGGUUGGAAGAAUCGCAAUAUAUAACCGGUCAUCGAAAAGCGGUGAACACUUCAGCUCGGACGUUCUUGGGGUGUGUAACGCAGUCCUGGUUUUUGUUUUCAAGGUGCCGGAGGAGCUGAUCGACGUUUAUAGUUGGCACCGGGAGUUGAAUGAAGAGCAUCAACGACUUAUAGCGCACUCGAUGGAUUCUACGUAACUCAACAAAAGGUCAAAGGGAAAUGGAAAGUGUUCUGCAUGUAUAAUCAGAAUGAAACUCUGUAUGUAUAAACCUUGUCACCAAGACGCAAUAUUGACGGCAUUGUCCGGUCAACCCGGAUCCUGCUACAUAUUGCUGAUAAAAUCGUGUGAAUGUUAGAAUAAUGUAUGGUUCACAUUGGAACUUGGCCUGCAAACUUUCAUCAAUCCACAGUUAUUAGCUGAUAGGCUUUCUUUGCAUUGCCAUAGCAUGGAUGCGUAUUAAGUAAAGCAAGCACAGUGAGACACUAUGCCUAGAAAGUCGAGAAAUUUUCCCGUCGACCCGUCGACUUCUGAUUGGCCAUUCAUACCAUUAUCCACUUGGAUAACUGAAGACUCCAUUUAUUUUAAAUAGGUAAGACUCAAACAUUUCAAGAUUUGAGCUUCAGGUUUAUUUAUCUCUACUAAGGAGAUUCUCAAUCCAAGUCUGACAAUUGACAGAAUCACUUUUUCUGUUUCAAUUUCAAAGAACUUCUUCCUGGCGUUCACUUCGCUCCGACUGGGACAUAUCCUGCUUUUCAGCUUAGUGUAUAUUGAGCACUUCCACAAUUAUUAUCUAAGAGCUGUCUUUGUCAAUGACUAUUUUGCAUUCGUAUGGUAUGUGGACAAGACGGGUCAGAGCCGUUUUAUGUCGUACUUUGAACGUUUUAAUAAUUUUGCAAGAUGAAUAUUGUGGAUACAAUAUAUAUAUUUCUGAGAAUCUCUAGGGAAUUUCAGGAAUUAUUUUUAUAUUUUCCGUGAAGCUCCUAAUUAGUAUAAAUGAUUUAACAUAUUUUUUUAUAAUUUUUAGAAUACAUCCCAGAAGACUGGGAACUUCUAGGAAUCUAGGAUUUUUUUUAUCUAUUAUCGAGAUCUUUAGCCCUAGGCUAGUUCAUCUCGGGACCCACGCUUGACUUACCUUCCGAAGGAAGAACUCACAUUUCGUGAGUUUGUCAGUGAAGCUACUGAUAUCUUUAAAUGAGUUAACAUAUUUAGUAUAAACUUUAGAAUACAUCCCGGAUGACUGAAAAUUUCUGAGAAUCUCUAGGGAUUUUCAGGAAUUGUUUAAAUAUUUUUUCCGUGAAGCUAUUCACUUCUACAAAUUGUUGAGAAUAUUUUCUAUACUGACUAUGAUCGCCUAUCAGUCCCAUAUGAAUAGGAAACCCAGCAAAUAUGGGACUGAUAUGCGAUCAUAGCUAGUAUACUUGUUAGAAUAAAUCUCAGAUGACUGGGAAUUUCUGAGAAUCUUUAGGGAUUUUCAGGAAUUAUUUAAAUAUUUUUUCGUGAAGCUAUUUACCUUUAUAAAUUGUUGAGAAUAUUUUCUAUACUUGUUGGAAUAAAUUCCAAAUGUCUGGAAAUUUCUGUGAAUCUUUAGGGAUUUUCAGGAAUUAUUGAAAUAUUUUUCCGUGAAGCUAUUCACUACUACAAAUUGUUGAAAAUAUUUUCUAUACCUGUUAGAAUAAAUCUCAGAUGACUGGGAAUUUCUGAGAAUCUUAAGGAAUUUUCAGGAAUUAUCUAAAUAUUUUCCCGUGAAGCUAUUUACCUUUACAAAUUGAUGAGAAUAUUUUCUAUACUUGUUGGAAUAAAUUCCAAAUGUCUGGAAAUUUCUGUGAAUCUUUAGGGAUUUUCAGGAAUUAUUGAAAUAUUUUUCCGUGAAGCUGUUUACCUCUACAAAUUGUUGAGAAUAUUUUCAAUACUUGUUGGAAUAAAUUCCAGAUGUCUGGAAAUUUCUGUACUUUAGGGAUUUUCAGGAAUUAUUUAAAUAUUUUUCCGUGAAGCUGUUAACCUCUACAAAUUGAUAAGAAUAUUUUCUAUAUUUGUUGGAAUACCAGAUGUCUGGAAAUUUCUGUGAAUCUUCAGGGGUUUUCAGGAAUUAUUGAAAUAUUUUUCCGUGAAGCUAUUCACUUCUACAAAUUGUUGAGAAUAUUUUCUAUACCUGUUAGAAUAAAUCUCAGAUGACUGGGAAUUUCUAAGCAUCUCUUGAGAUUCUCAGGAAUUAUUUAAAUAUUUUUCUGUGAAGCUAUUCACUUCUACAUAUUGUUGAGAAUAUUUUCAAUACUUGUUAGAAUAAAUUCCAGAUGACUGGGAAUUUCUGAGAAUCUCUAGGGAUUCUCAGGAAUUAUUUUAAUAUUUUCCGUUAUUCUAGUUUCUAAAAAUGAUUGAGAAUAUUUUCUGCAGUUCCUAGAAUACAUUCCAGAUGACUGGGAAUUUCUGAGAAUCUCUAGGGAUUCUCAGGAAUUAUUUUAAUAC